UAAAGGAGCUCUCUGAGGAGUGGAGUGAUCUUUUUAAGUAGCAACAUACACAUAUGUAGGUGAAACUCUGCAUUCACAUAAUGAACCUGGAUAAUUUAUCCCAUUGUAACCAGAUGAUUGAAUUAAUUGACUUACAGCACAUAUGUAGCCUAGAAGGCAACAAAUGGUGGAAGUGAUCCAAGGCUGAGGUUUGAGUGGGCAUGAUCGGCCAUAUGAUAAGGGGGUUUGGGAUUCAGUAGAGGAGGACUGUCACAUGCAAUGGAGAUACAUUAGAAUCUUUCCCAAUACUGGAUUAAGGCACAUUAGUAAACCCAGGAAAUACAAAUUAAAGCAAGAAGAAAGUCAGUUCCUACUCAUGGGGAAGUAAACACAUAAAAGGAAGCUGAAAAGGAAGGCAGGGAGGGAGAAAGUUCCUGGAUAGGGAGGCAUAGUGGAGAAUGCAGAGGAGUGCAGCCUGCUAAGAAAUGAAGAGGUGGCUGGCCUGGGUUCCCUGCCUAAAUGGAGAUUUUUGGAGGAGCCUUCCAAGCAGAGGGAGAAGCUGCAGAAGAAGAGAGGAUACUUCCAAGGUAUAAGUCUCAGGGCUGAAGUGAUCUUUCAAAAUGAAGAAGUUUCUGGAUCAUGUAGCCUGGUUGGAAAUGAAAUAUGUACCUAUCUAUCUCUCUAUCCAUCCAAAAGCCAUUUCCUAAUAGAUAAACCAUUCCCAAAAGAUAUGAACAAAUAGUGAAUGUAAAUUAUUAACAACUAUAUGAAAGAAUGCUCCAUAUCACUAGCAGUAAGAGAAAAAAGCAAAUCAAAACACUGUACCUUAUAACCUGCAAUUUGGCUAAG